CAUACAGUAAUAAACCAUUACAUUAGUACAUCAUAAAACGGAGGAGGCAAAAGUCGAAUGGUAAGUAUGAGAAUAGUGUGUGAGAAUGAGAGGUUUAGAGAAAGCAUGUUCCACACUUUUCGUACUUGAUGCGCCGGAUAUGUUAAUAGGAUUUUUGGAAUGAAGCUUCCAAAAAAGAUGGAUGAAAAACGAAUAGAAAGCGUGAUAGAUGUAUCGAGA
ensembl:ncRNA T25D10.10 ncRNA